rnacentral:tRNA from 1 species
GUAGAUAUAAGUUAAGUUUAAACUGUUAGUUUUCAAAACUGAGAAUUUUUCUAUAUU